GUGGGGAAUAUUGGACAAUGGGCGCAAGCCUGAUCCAGCCAUGCCGCGUGAGUGAUGAAGGCCUUAGGGUUGUAAAGCUCUUUCAGUAGGGAAGAUAAUGACGGUACCUACAGAAGAAGCCCCGGCUAACUUCGUGCCAGCAGCCGCGGUAAUACGAAGGGGGCUAGCGUUGUUCGGAUUUACUGGGCGUAAAGCGCACGUAGGCGGAUUGGUCAGUUAGAGGUGAAAUCCCGAAGCUCAACUUCGGAACUGCCUUUAAUACUGCCAGUCUCGAGUCCGGAAGAGGUGAGUGGAACUCCUAGUGUAGAGGUGGAAUUCGUAGAUAUUAGGAAGAACACCAGUGGCGAAGGCGGCUCACUGGUCCGGUACUGACGCUGAGGUGCGAAAGCGUGGGGAGCAAACAGGAUUAGAAACCCCAGUAGUC
rnacentral:rRNA from 1 species